rnacentral:lncRNA from 1 species
GUGGUUUAACUUUCCCCUCUUCAGUUCUGCUUCCAACAACAGAGAAUAGCUUCUCCUAAUGUCCAUUUGGAGCUGUCCUUUCAUAGAUCUUCCAAAGUCUUCCUACUGCCUACCUGAGUGGUCUCUAAUAGAAUUCUCCUUGUUGUUUGACACUGUGAUCAACUCUUCCUUCUUACUGCCCUAUGCCGGUUAGUGUCUAUCAUAAACAUGAUGGGAAUAACAGAGUACUGGAGAUGUGAUUGGAUUCUGAGGAACUGACGUUAUAUUGAAACUGAAGUUAUAUUGAAAUACCGUAUCAUAGCUUUUUGUGAACCGAACAGAUGAUUGCUAUUGAUACUGCUUAAGAGAAUACAGCUAUCACUUCCUGGCCUUUUGGCGAAAUCAAGUGCUAAGACAACACAGCUCUAGAGGGAGAAGGACAAGAGAACCAUGCCUUCAUGGAAACAGCAGUGUGAACAACAUAAGAAACAGUCAGAAAUGAUUAAUGAAGGAAGGCGGUCAUGUAGCCUGCAAGGAGCAGUGCGGAAUGUGUUGGGUGCAAGGCAGAGGCUGGAAAGUGAAGGUGGAUCCAUUUUUCCACAAGAAUGAAAAAGGGGAAAGGGGAAUUAGAAAAAGGAAGGAGAGGG